rnacentral:rRNA from 1 species
UGGGGAAUAUUGCACAAUGGGGGAAACCCUGAUGCAGCCAUGCCGCGUGUGUGAAGAAGGCCUUCGGGUUGUAAAGCACUUUCAGCGAGGAGGAAAGGUUGAUGCCUAAUACGUAUCAACUGUGACGUUACUCGCAGAAGAAGCACCGGCUAACUCCGUGCCAGCAGCCGCGGUAAUACGGAGGGUGCAAGCGUUAAUCGGAAUUACUGGGCGUAAAGCGCACGCAGGCGGUUGGAUAAGUUAGAUGUGAAAGCCCCGGGCUCAACCUGGGAAUUGCAUUUAAAACUGUCCAGCUAGAGUCCUGUAGAGGGGGGUAGAAUUCCAGGUGUAGCGGUGAAAUGCGUAGAGAUCUGGAGGAAUACCGGUGGCGAAGGCGGCCCCCUGGACAAAGACUGACGCUCAGGUGCGAAAGCGUGGGGAGCAAACA